rnacentral:rRNA from 1 species
AGAAGAAGCGCCGGCUAACUACGUGCCAGCAGCCGCGGUAAUACGUAGGGCGCAAGCGUUAUCCCGAAUUAUUGGGCGUAAAGAGCUCGUAGGCGGUUUGUCGCGUCUGCCGUGAAAGUCCGGGGCUCAACUCCGGAUCUGCGGUGGGUACGGGCAGACUAGAGUGAUGUAGGGGAGACUGGAAUUCCUGGUGUAGCGGUGAAAUGCGCAGAUAUCAGGAGGAACACCGAUGGCGAAGGCAGGUCUCUGGGCAUUAACUGACGCUGAGGAGCGAAAGCAUGGGGAGCGAACAGGAUUAGAUACCCUGGUAGUCCAUGCCGUAAACGUUGGGCACUAGGUGUGGGGGACAUUCCACGUUUUCCGCGCCGUAGCUAACGCAUUAAGUGCCCCGCCUGGGGAGUACGGCCGCAAGGCUAAAACUCAAAGGAAUUGACGGGGGCCCGCACAAGCGGCGGAGCAUGCGGAUUAAUUCGAUGCAACGCGAAGAACCUUACCAAGGCUUGACAUGAACCGGACCGCCGCAGAAAUGUGGUUUCCCCUUUGGGGCUGGUUUACAGGUGGUGCAUGGUUGUCGUCAGCUCGUGUCGUGAGAUGUUGGGUUAAGUCCCGCAACGAGCGCAACCCUCGUUCUAUGUUGCCAGCACGUGAUGGUGGGGACUCAUAGGAGACUGCCGGGGUCAACUCGGAGGAAGGUGGGGACGACGUCAAAUCAUCAUGCCCCUUAUGUCUUGGGCUUCACGCAUGCUACAAUGGCCGGUACAAAGGGUUGCGAUACUGUGAGGUGGAGCUAAUCCCAAAAAACCGGUCUCAGUUCGGAUUGGGGUCUGCAACUCGACCCCAUGAAGUCGGAGUCGCUAGUAAUCGCAGAUCAGCAACGCUGCGGUGAAUACGUUCCCGGGCCUUGUACACACCGCCCGUCAAGUCACGAAAGUUGGUAACACCCGAAGCCGGUGGCCUAACCCCUUUGUGGGAGGGAGCC